UACAGAGGGUGCAAGCGUUAAUCGGAAUUACUGGGCGUAAAGCGUGCGCAGACGGUCUCGUAAGUCGGGUGUGAAAUCCCCGGGCUCAACCUGGGAAUUGCAUUCGAAACUGCGAGGCUAGGGUACGGAAGAGGGAAGCGGAAUUCCUGGUGUAGCGGUGAAAUGCGCAGAUAUCAGGAGGAACACCGAUGGCGAAGGCAGUGUUCUGGGCCAGUACUGACGCUGAGGAGCGAAAGCGUGGGGAGCAAACAGG
rnacentral:rRNA from 1 species